AUUGAACGCUGGCGGCAUGCCUUACACAUGCAAGUCAAACGGCAGCACGGGAGCAAUCCUGGUGGCGAGUGGCGAACGGGUGAGUAAUAUAUCGGAACGUGCCCAGUCGUGGGGGAUAACGUAGCGAAAGCUACGCUAAUACCGCAUACGAUCUAUGGAUGAAAGCGGGGGAUCGCAAGACCUCGCGCGAUUGGAGCGGCCGAUAUCAGAUUAGGUAGUUGGUGGGGUAAAAGCCUACCAAGCCUUCGAUCUGUAGCUGGUCUGAGAGGACGACCAGCCACACUGGAACUGAGACACGGUCCAGACUCCUACGGGAGGCAGCAGUGGGGAAUUUUGGACAAUGGGCGCAAGCCUGAUCCAGCAAUGCCGCGUGCAGGAUGAAGGCC
rnacentral:rRNA from 1 species